rnacentral:rRNA from 1 species
CACGUAGGAGGCGAGCGUUGUCCGGAAUCAUUGGGCGUAAAGGGCGCGUAGGCGGCCCGCUAAGUCGAACGUGAAAUCCCCAGGCUCAACCUGGGAACUGCGUCCGAUACUGGCAGGCUUGAAUCCGGGAGAGGGAUGUGGAAUUCCAGGUGUAGCGGUGAAAUGCGUAGAUAUCUGGAGGAACACCGGUGGCGAAGGCGGCAUCCUGGACCGGCAUUGACGCUGAGGCGCGAAAGCUAGGGGAGCAAACGGG